rfam:Micromonospora narathiwatensis strain DSM 45248 genome assembly, chromosome: I
CCGGUUCCGGUUCACGCCCGAGCCCGUCGCGGACGACGGGGCACCCGACGGCGACCCGGCGACC